CAAAUCCUUCAUCCACAGCCAAGCCUUCAGAUAACAGCAGGUCCUGCCAAUGUGCCCUGACAGCAUCAAUGUGAGAGACCUUGAGUCAGAACCACCCAGCUAAUUCACUCCCAGAUACCUGGACCAGAACAUCUGUGAGAUGUUAACUGUAUUCACCACCUGCAACUUUCCGGAAGGUGGAACCUCAGUCUUCCUGGGACCUUUUAGUUCAGAGCUCCAGUUUUCAACUUGACAGCAUACAUGAUUUCCAGUGCCCACGUCUUGCUGAUGCCGGCCCUCUACAGUUGGAGAGCAUGGUGAUGAGCCAGGUUGGAGAAGAGCCCUCAGGACACAGAGGAGGCCAGAGCUGAGAGAACACCAGAUGGACAUGGAAGCACACAGUGUGCUACAAAACAUUUACUCCUACUCAAGAUUUGUGCUGACA
rnacentral:lncRNA from 13 species